ensembl:snRNA U1 U1 spliceosomal RNA
GUGGGGAAGAUACCAUAACCACGCAAGUAGUUUUCCAGGGUGAGGCACAUCCAGUUGUACUCAGGAUGUACUGAUCCCCGUGAUCCGUAGCACUAUGUAUUUUGUAGCACUUGGGACUACAUUUGUGUUUUCCCU